GGUAAGGUGGCUGAGUUACAUAGGCGGUAGAUUGUAAAUCUAUAAACGAGGUUUAUACCUCUCGUACCA
rnacentral:tRNA from 1 species